rnacentral:rRNA from 1 species
GAAUAUUGGACAAUGGGGGCAACCCUGAUCCAGCCAUGCCGCGUGAGUGAUGAAGGCCUUCGGGUUGUAAAGCUCUUUUGGCGGGGACGAUGAUGACGGUACCCGCAGAAUAAGCCCCGGCUAACUUCGUGCCAGCAGCCGCGGUAAGACGAAGGGGGCUAGCGUUGUUCGGAAUUACUGGGCGUAAAGCGAGUGUAGGUGGUUGUCAUAGUCAGGUGUGAAAGCCUUGAGCUCAACUCAAGAAAUGCACUUGAUACUGGGCGACUAGAGGACCGGAGAGGAUAGUGGAAUUCCCAGUGUAGUGGUGAAAUACGUAGAGAUUGGGAAGAACACCAGUGGCGAAGGCGGCUAUCUGGACGGUUUCUGACACUAAGACUCGAAAGCGUGGGGAGCAAACAGG